rnacentral:rRNA from 1 species
GUUCGCAUUGUAAUUUGUAGAGGAUGCUUUGGGUAAAACGCCAGUCUAAGUUCCUUGGAACAGGACGUCAUAGAGGGUGAGAAUCCCGUAUGUGACUGGAAAUGUUAACCUAUGUAAAGCUCCUUCGACGAGUCGAGUUGUUUGGGAAUGCAGCUCUAAAUGGGAGGUAAAUUUCUUCUAAAGCUAAAUAUUGGCGAGAGACCGAUAGCGCACAAGUAGAGUGAUCGAAAGAUGAAAAGCACUUUGGAAAGAGAGUUAAAAAGCACGUGAAAUUGUUGAAAGGGAAGCGCUUGCAAUCAGACUUGUUUAAACUGUUCGGCCGGUCUUCUGACCGGUUUACUCAGUUUGGACAGGCCAGCAUCAGUUUCGGCGGCCGGAUAAAGGCUCUGGGAAUGUGGCCUCCACUUCGGUGGAGGUGUUAUAGCCCAGUGUGUAAUACGGCCAGCCGGGACUGAGGUCCGCGCUUCGGCUAGGAUGCUGGCGUAAUGGUUGUAAGCGACCCGUCUUGAAACACGGACCAAGGAGUCUAACAUCUAUGCGAGUGUUCGGGUGUCAAACCCCUGCGCGUAAUGAAAGUGAACGGAGGUGGGAACCGCAAGGUGCACCAUCGACCGAUCCUGAUGUUUUCGGAUGGAUUUGAGUAAGAGCAUAGCUGUUGGGACCCGAAAGAUGGUGAACUAUGCCUGAAUAGGGUGAAGCCAGAGGAAACUCUGGU